GACUAUUAAAUAGUUCGUGAUGACGUAGCUUUGUUCUCGUCCAAUGGCUUGGUUUGGCUCAUUAAUAUUCAAAACCAAGCCUUCGCCGUCGCCAUAGUGGUGUUCGGUUCCCAGCGUCUGGACGGCCUGUCACCUGCGUCGAAGAGGUACAAGUGUAUACGUACAGUGCUGUCCAGUCCAAGAGUAAUCAUCAUCACAAAGAAGAUGAUGGCAAAGAAAGUCGACCCAACCAUGUUUGCUAUGGCUUCUGGAUAUGUGAUGAAGAGCAGACUGGGUCCUAGAGGAGGCUGAAGUAGACGAUGGUGAAGAUGAGGAAGAGGCAAAGCAGGAGCUGCCAGCGAAUGUAUCCCACAUGCCCA